CCUUAUUUGGGAAAACCUGGAAACGGGUUUAAUCCGGAUAGGAGGUCCCCCGCAGGUGGGGUUGGAAAGAUUAUCGGUUUGGAAUGACUCGCGCCUAUCAGCUGUUGGGAAGUAAUGGCUCACCAAGCGACGACGGGUAGCGGCCUGANAGGUGACCGGCCACACUGGGACUGAGACACGGCCCAGAUUCCUACGGGAGGCAGCAGUGGGAAUAUUGCACAAUGGGCGCAAGCCUGAUGCAGCGACGCCGCGUGAGGGAUGACGGCCUUCGGGUUGUAACCUCUUUCAGUAGGGAAGAAGCGAAAGUGACGGUACCUGCAGAAGAAGCACCGGCUAACUACGUGCCAGCAGCCGCGGUAAUACGUAGGGUGCGAGCGUUAUCCGGAAUUAUUGGGCGUAAAGAGCUCGUAGGCGGUUUGUCACGUCUGUCGUGAAAGUCCGGGGCUUAACCCCGGAUCUGCGGUGGGUACGGGCAGACUAGAGUGCAGUAGGGGAGACUGGAAUUCCUGGUGUAGCGGUGGAAUGCGCAGAUAUCAGGAGGAACACCGAUGGCGAAGGCAGGUCUCUGGGCUGUAACUGACGCUGAGGAGCGAAAGCAUGGGGAGCGAACAGGAUUAGAUACCCUGGUAGUCCAUGCCGUAAACGUUGGGCACUAGGUGUGGGGACCAUUCCACGGUUUCCGCGCCGCAGCUAACGCAUUAAGUGCCCCGCCUGGGGAGUACGGCCGCAAGGCUAAAACUCAAAGGAAUUGACGGGGGCCCGCACAAGCGGCGGAGCAUGCGGAUUAAUUCGAUGCAACGCGAAGAACCUUACCAAGGCUUGACAUGUUCUCGAUCGCCGUAGAGAUACGGUUUCCCCUUUGGGGCGGGUUCACAGGUGGUGCAUGGUUGUCGUCAGCUCGUGUCGUGAGAUGUUGGGUUAAGUCCCGCAACGAGCGCAACCCUCGUUCCAUGUUGCCAGCACGUCGUGGUGGGGACUCAUGGGAGACUGCCGGGGUCAACUCGGAGGAAGGUGAGGACGACGUCAAAUCAUCAUGCCCCUUAUGUCUUGGGCUUCACGCAUGCUACAAUGGCCGGUACAAUGGGUUGCGAUACUGUGAGGUGGAGCUAAUCCCAAAAAGCCGGUCUCAGUUCGGAUUGGGGUCUGCAACUCGACCCCAUGAAGUCGGAGUCGCUAGUAAUCGCAGAUCAGCAACGCUGCGGUGAAUACGUUCCCGGGCCUUGUACACACCGCCCGUCAAGUCACGAAAGUCGGUAACACCCGAAGCCGGUGGCCUAACCCUUGUGGGGGAGCCGUCGAAGGUGACCCAGCGUUU
rnacentral:rRNA from 1 species